AUACAGAGAUUAUGUUACUUGGUAUCUUUUGAUAACGUCUUUGAUUAGUUUUCUCAUUUGCUAUCGAAUUGGUCCUGUUACUAAUGACAGAACUAAAAAAAUUAUUCAGUGGUUUUUACAGGCCGCUGGGAUGUUGAUAAUAUACUGCAGCAGUUAUUUUACUGAAGCAUCAAUAUCAUUUUGUAUAUUAAAUUUUUUAAUUUACAAUUUUCCGAUCGUCGUAUACCACAAAAGUAAAAGUUACUGGAAAAAAUUGUUUCCUGAACGACGGAAAUUACUGACUGAGAACGAAUAUCGACUCCAAGCAAUCCGAGAAACUAACAAAGCAUUGGAUGAGUUGAAAGGAUAUUGCUCGAGUCCUGAAUCAAAUCCUUGGAAGACUGUCUUGCGGUUAAAAGAUCCAAUAAGGUAAUUUUUAUUGCCAUCGGAAUUUAAUAAUCUAA